GUAGGGAAUAUUGGACAAUGGGGGCAACCCUGAUCCAGCGACGCAGCGUGAGUGACGAAGGCCUUCGGGUCGUAAAGCUCUGUUGCAAGGGAAAAACAAAAUGAUGGUACCUUGCUAGAAAGGAUCGGCUAACUUCGUGCCAGCAGCCGCGGUAAGACGAGGGAUCCUAGCGUUGUUCGGAAUUAUUGGGCGUAAAGCGGGUGUAGGUGGCUUUGUAAGUCAGGUGUGAAAGCCUGGGGCUUAACCCCAGAAGUGCAUUUGAUACUGCGAAGCUUGAGUGCUGGAGAGGCUACUAGAAUUCUUGGUGUAGUGGUGAAAUACGUAGAUAUCAAGAGGAAUACCGGAGGCGAAGGCGGGUAGCUGGCCAGACACUGACACUCAGACCCGAAAGCGUGGGGAUCAAACAGGAUUAGAAACCCUUGUAGUCC
rnacentral:rRNA from 1 species